rnacentral:rRNA from 1 species
UUGUCUCAAAGAUUAAGCCAUGCAUGUCUCAGUACAAGCCGAAUUAAGGUGAAACCGCGAAAGGCUCAUUAAAUCAGUUAUGGUUCCUUAGAUCGUACACACAUUUACUUGGAUAACUGUGGUAAUUCUAGAGCUAAUACAUGCAAACAGAGCUCCGACCGGAGACGGAAGGAGCGCUUUUAUUAGAUCAAAACCAAUCGGUGGCGAUUUCCGUCGUCAUCGUACAACUUGGUGACUCUGAAUAACUUUACGCUGAUCGCACGGUCUUGCACCGGCGACGCAUCUUUCAAAUGUCUGCCUUAUCAACUGUCGAUGGUAGGUUCUGCGCCUACCAUGGUUGUAACGGGUAACGGGGAAUCAGGGUUCGAUUCCGGAGAGGGAGCCUGAGAAACGGCUACCACAUCCAAGGAAGGCAGCAGGCGCGCAAAUUACCCACUCCCGGCACGGGGAGGUAGUGACGAAAAAUAACGAUACGGGACUCAUCCGAGGCCCCGUAAUCGGAAUGAGUACACUCUAAACCCUUUAACGAGGAUCAAUUGGAGGGCAAGUCUGGUGCCAGCAGCCGCGGUAAUUCCAGCUCCAAUAGCGUAUAUUAAAGUUGUUGCGGUUAAAAAGCUCGUAGUCGAAUCUGUGUCCCGCGCCGCCGGUUCAUCGUUCGCGGUGUUAACUGGCGUGUCGCGGGACGUCCUGCCGGUGGGCUUAGCUCGAGAGGGCGGCCCAACUCAAUCCCGCCGCGGUGCUCUUCAUUGAGUGUCGAGGUGGGCCGGCACGUUUACUUUGAACAAAUUAGAGUGCUUAAAGCAGGCUAAAACUUCGCCUGAAUACUGUGUGCAUGGAAUAAUGGAAUAGGACCUCGGUUCUAUUUUGUUGGUUUUCGGAACCCCGAGGUAAUGAUUAAUAGGAACGGAUGGGGGCAUUCGUAUUGCGACGUUAGAGGUGAAAUUCUUGGAUCGUCGCAAGACGGACAGAAGCGAAAGCAUUUGCCAAAAACGCUUUCAUUGAUCAAGAACGAAAGUUAGAGGUUCGAAGGCGAUCAGAUACCGCCCUAGUUCUAACCAUAAACGAUGCCAGCUAGCGAUCCGCCGACGUUCCUCCGAUGACUCGGCGGGCAGCUUCCGGGAAACCAAAGCUUUUGGGUUCCGGGGGAAGUAUGGUUGCAAAGCUGAAACUUAAAGGAAUUGACGGAAGGGCACCACCAGGAGUGGAGCCUGCGGCUUAAUU